UACAGAGGUCUCAAGCGUUGUUCGGAUUCAUUGGGCGUAAAGGGUGCGUAGGUGGCGCCAUAAGUCAGGUGUGAAAUCUCGGGGCUCAACCUCGAAACUGCACUUGAUACUGUGGUGCUCGAGUACUGGAGAGGAGAUUGGAAUUUACGGUGUAGCAGUGAAAUGCGUAGAUAUCGUAAAGGAAGACCAGUGGCGAAGGCGAAUCUCUGGACAGUUACUGACACUGAGCACGAAGGCCAGGGGAGCAAAACGGGG
rnacentral:rRNA from 1 species